GGCACGACCUGUUCCUAUCGAUGGGAAAAGUGCAAAAGAUGUGCAAAAAGUCGCAAAGCUCGCCAAGAAAAUGUUCCAUGGCCUCAAGCUUGACAAAGUUGUGGAUAGUACUAUAAUAAAAGAAGGAGGCCCAUUAAAUAUAGUUGCAAAAUUACAAGACCAAAGUAAUGCACAAAACAACAAAAAGAAGCUGUUUUAUAAUCACGAUGUAGAUA